rnacentral:rRNA from 1 species
UGGGGAAUCUUGGACAAUGGGGGCAACCCUGAUCCAGCCAUGCCGCGUGAGUGAUGAAGGCCUUAGGGUCGUAAAGCUCUUUCGCCUGUGAAGAUAAUGACGGUAGCAGGUAAAGAAGCCCCGGCUAACUUCGUGCCAGCAGCCGCGGUAAUACGAAGGGGGUUAGCGUUGUUCGGAAUUACUGGGCGUAAAGCGCACGUAGGCGGACCAGAAAGUUGGGGGUGAAAUCCCGGGGGCUCAACCCCGGAACUGCCUCCAAAACUAUUGGUCUAGAGUUCGAGAGAGGUGAGUGGAAUUCCAAGUGUAGAGGUGAAAUUCGUAGAUAUUUGGAGGAACACCAGUGGCGAAGGCGGCUCACUGGCUCGAUACUGACGCUGAGGUGCGAAAGUGUGGGGAGCAAACAGGAUUAGAUACCCUGGUAGUCCACACCGUAAAACGAUGAAUGCCAGUCGUCGGGUAGCAUGCUAUUCGGUGACACACCUAACGGAUUAAGCAUUCCGCCUGGGGAGUACGGUCGCAAGAUUAAAA